rnacentral:rRNA from 1 species
AGGGUUUGAUUCUGGCUCAGGACGAACGCUGGCGGUGCGCCUUAUGCAUGCAAGUUGAGCGAAGCUUUUCAGUAGUUUACUACAGAAAAUGACUGAGCGGCGAACGGGUGAGUAACGCGUGAGCAAUCUACCUUAGUUACUGGGAUAGCCCGAGGAAACUCGGAUUAAUACCGGAUAUUCUUAUUUUUUCACAUGAAGUUUUAAGGAAAGGUCAGCCGAACUAAGAUGAGCUCGCGUUCUAUCAGCUAGUUGGUGGGGUAAAAGCCUACCAAGGCUACGACGGAUAGCUGGUCUGAGAGGACGAUCAGCCACACUGGGACUGAGACACGGCCCAGACUCCUACGGGAGGCUGCAGCAGGGAAUAUUGCGCAAUGAGCGAAAGCUUGACGCAGCGACACCGCGUGUGGGAUGACGGUUCUAGGAUUGUAAACCACUUUCAGGAGGGAAGAAGAUGACGGUACCUCCACAAGAAGCCCCGGCCAACUACGUGCCAGCCGCCGCGGUAAUUC